rnacentral:rRNA from 1 species
AUUGAACGCUGGCGGCAGGCCUAACACAUGCAAGUCGAGCGUGCGGCGGAAGGGUGAGUAAUGUCUGGGAACCUGCCUGAUGGAGGGGGAUAACUACUGGAAACGGUAGCUAAUACCGCAUACCAUCAGAUGUGCCCAGAGGGGGUUAGAUAGUAGGUGGGGUAACGGCGUACCAGGGCGACGAUCCCGAGCUGGUCUGAGAGGAUGACCAGCCACACUGGAACUGGGACACGGCCCAGACUCCUACGGGAGGCAGCAGUGGGGAAUAUUGCACAAUGGGCGCAAGCCUGAUGCAGCCAUGCCGCGUGUGUGAAGAAGGCUUUCGGGUUGUAAAGCACUUUCAGCGGGGAGGCGUUACCCGCAGAAGAAGCACCGGCUAACUCCGUGCCAGCCGCCGCGGUAAUUC